rnacentral:rRNA from 1 species
UACGUAGGUGGCGAGCGUUGUCCGGAUUUACUGGGCGUAAAGAGCGCGCAGGCGGCCGUGCAAGUCGCGUGUGAAAGCCCCCGGCUCAACUGGGGAGGGUCACGCGAUACUGCUCGACUCGAAGGCAGGAGAGGGAAGUGGAAUUCCCGGUGUAGUGGUGAAAUGCGUAGAUAUCGGGAGGAACACCAGUGGCGAAGGCGACUUCCUGGCCUGUUCUUGACGCUGAGGCGCGAAAGCGUGGGGAGCGAACAGG